AACGUGGUAUUUUAGGAAGAAUAGUGGGUUUGCGUCUCACAGGCGGCUAUGCCCCUCGUUA
rnacentral:tRNA from 1 species